AAAACAUUCUCUUCAGUCAAAUUCCAUUUCAUUCUCAAAUUCCCAAAAUACGAUCUCUCUUUCUCCAUUCCAUCUGAAACGCUGGAUUCAUUUGAAGCUUCCUUCCAUGGCUACGAUGGAUUUGAUCUGAAGCACGCAUCAAUUUUACUUUCUUGCUGCUCGAUGUGAAGCACGCAGCAAGAGAAUUAGUAACAAAUUUCUUGAACAAUCAUGGAGAAAUCUAGAAAUAGAAGAUGGAUGGAUUACAGUAGUGUCAAUACAAAGUACUUAGAUGGAGUAGAAAUAUUUUUAAACCACACAUUUUGUGAAAAACAUAAUGGGAGGAACAAUUUCAUGCCCCUAUACAAAAUGUGUGCUAUACUAUCAAGUAAAUCGGGCAAUGGCAUAUGAUCAUCUCGUUGUUAAUGGUCCUUCAAAGACAAGUAAAGUUCGUGGACCAAAUUUAUUAAAAGAUGUUUGGAAUCUACCGUCGGGGAAGACAAUUGUUGUGCCGUUUAAUAGUCGUAAUCAAUCAAUGGGAAAAGGGCCGAAAACUUGCUAGCUUUCUAGGCGUCAUUGCUAGAACCCCGGAUUUGACACCGUUAAAUGUAAUUGAUUGGCGAGUGUUUGACGAAGCAGAAAAGACAAAGUUGGUGGAGUUUGUAAAGAGAAAGUUCUCAAUUCCGAUACGCGGAGAAGAGUUUGUGAAAAAUCAAUAGGAAAAAAAUGGAGGGACUAUAAAUGUGACUUGAAGGUUAUGUAUGUGACCAAAUAUAAGACCAAAGAUGCCUUGAUGAAAAAUAGACCAAAUCACAUACCAAGGGAUCAUUGGAAUGGUCUUGUCUCGUAUUGUCUUUCUUAAAAAGCAAAGAAGCAUAGUCAAGCACAUUAGCCGAGCUAAGCAAAAAAUGGCUCACAUGGGAGGAUCCAAAAGCAUAGCUACCUUGAUGAAUGAACAGGCUAUAGAUGGAAUAGAGCCUACACGUGCAAAAGUCUACAUAUUAACUCAUACAAAGUGUAGAGAUGGUAGACCAUUGGAUGGGGAGUCUUCAAAUGUUGUUGACACGAUGAAAGAGAAGUUGAGUAAUGGCGAGACACCUAAGGAACAAUCUCAUGGCAGUGUUGCUUGGGAAGGAGAUGUGUGUUCUCAAGUGUUGGGAAAUGAAAAAAGUGGUUAUGUUCGUGCUUUAGGACUUGGUCCAAUGCCUUCUCUGUUAUGGGGCUGUAAAUCUUUCUUACGAAAUAUUUCUGUUGAUGGUUUAUGUAAUGAGGCUGCACAUAAGUUAGAACAAGAGAUGAAGGAGUUGAACAAAAAACAGGAUGAAGAAGUGAUUUUGAUGAGAAAAAAAUCAAGAAAUGCUAAUUUCAGAAUUAUCAUGGAUGAGACAAGUCAUGUGGAAAUAUGCUUCUACUGAAUUAAGCAGGCCUCAAAACAAUGGAAGCACUACUAUACAGGUUAUCUGCUUUCAAAGUUUUUAACUUUUGUACUUAAAAUUUAGCUUUACAAGAAAAUUAUGUCAUCUAGUGUGUUGAUUUUUACUAAGUUUCGGAUGCCAAUAGUGGCAAUGAACAAGCAAUAUAAGCACUGCUCAAGUCGUCAAGUGGCAACUUCUUUCUCUCUCCUCCAGGCUCAACAACUUUUUCUACAGAUAUCAAAUAAAGUUGGCUCUACUAAAGAUCCUCCGAUAUUGCAUAUGGUCGUGAUCCAAACUGCCAUAGUUUCACCGGGGAAAAGAAAUAAUGGCUCAAUCUCCUAGUUUUUCAUUGUUGAACACAUUUUCUCUCCUUUUUUUUUCUUAUUUUUUUUUAUAACUUUAACACAUUCUUUUUGUUUAGAUAAUUCAUACUUUUUAACCACCGGAAGACAAGAAAGUUGAUGUAUUGAUUGUUCUUGUGUAAUAUGAAUGAUUUGUUUGGGUUUGGUAA